UACGGAGGGGGCAAGCGUUAUUCGGAAUUAUUGGGCGUAAAGGGCGCGUAGGCGGCUUUGUAAGUCAGAGGUGAAAUCCCGGGGCUCAACCCCGGAACUGCCUUUGAGACUGCAUCGCUGGAAUCCAGGAGAGGUGAGUGGAAUUCCGAGUGUAGAGGUGAAAUUCGUAGAUAUUCGGAAGAACACCAGUGGCGAAGGCGGCUCACUGGACUGGUAUUGACGCUGAGGUGCGAAAGCGUGGGGAGCAAACAGG
rnacentral:rRNA from 1 species